AAGCAAGUGCUAGUGAUGUCCAUUGCUUUCUAUUUUAACUGGUAAAAGAUGGAGACUUAGUGAAAAUUUUCAUUUUUCCAUUUUCUUUGUAAUGGAUGUGAGUAACUGAAAAAAGCUGUAAUGUGGUCAGUGAGAGUAAGUCUCGAUCUGUGCAAAUGAAUGAACUUUGCAUGAUGGCAGCUAGUGCAUGUGCAGAUAGAAGUUGCUAAGUGGAAACCAUGAUCAUGUGCUGUCCUUGAGGAGGGGGUGACAGGGGAAGAUGUCCAUUAUUACUGUAGGUGUGUUCUUGAAACCUGCUGUCCGGGCCUUUCCUUCAGAGAAGCCAUGUCUUGUUAAAUGCAAGCUGUGCAGAUUCCAGGCUAUGUUGUCCAGGAUGAGGAGCUAUAUGUGUCUACAAUUUGGGGUUUGCUUAAACUUUUGUAUGCUCAGACCUAGUACUUUAGUAACACAGGAGAACCUCUGGUGUUAGAACUUGAGAAACAAGUACUGUUUCUGAGUUGUAUAUAUUAGGAUAUUUUGAAUGUUAAGGAUAUGUAGAUAGUCAUAACGUUAAGAAGACUUGAGUUUUGAGGUAUCUUGUUAAGGGCUAUUCAGCCUAAUAGACAAAGGCAAGAGACAGAAGCAGUAAGAAACCAGACUUAGGUGUACGAAUGCUAGCAAACAGGUAUUCAGGACAACAGUGCCAAACAUCAUUACUCCCUGGCUACUCAGUGGGGCACCACUGGAGGAUGCCCUCAAAGGCAUGAAGAGGUUCAACCAGAUCUUUGUAGUUGAGAAGGAGGACAGAAACAAGAUUAUCGGGGUGUUAUGAGAGAGAGCAAACAUCACAAGAUAUUUAAGUGGGUUUGUGGGAACUACUGUUGGAAACUUACUCUGGGGAUCAUGAGAAACUCACUGUAUUUAGUGAAAGGGCCAAAGGCAGGAAAAGGGAGGAAUCAAAGGGAGUAGGUGAAGAACAAGUCUGGGGAAAUGGAGAGGAGGGAAGAUAAAAGCUAUUGUUCAAGCUGCUGCUCAGCAUGCCUGUUUGGCCAAGCUGUGCAUCUUAUAAGUACAGAUAGUUUUUUCUUCUUAUUAAACUCUAUCCCAUCCUACCUUCUGCUUCUUUUCGGGAAGUCUUCCAUCAAAAAGCCAGCCUGGUGGAGUAGAGCUCCUUUAGAACAAGCCCCAAGUAAGACUCUGCUUUGGUUUAUGAGCUCCUGUUGCACUGAGUUCAGGUUCUUGAUGCUGUUCUGGACUGAAUUCUGGUUUGCUUGUGACAAGCUUUCAAGUGCUUCUGAAGUGUGUUAACUGACUGCAGAACUGACAAUACAAGCUUGAAUCUGCACUGCUUCUUUAGCCUUGUACUUGAUGAUGGAAGAGCCAAAGAAACAGCUGAAUCUGACAGAAAGACCCAUUGAAGCCAAAGAGCUACUGCGUUUUGUAACCAGUGUGUUUCUCAGAAGCAAUGAGAUUAAGUGGAUCAGCUGGUGUGCUCAGUGCUUGGUGGAAAGCAGCUUAUUUAAAUUAAGAGGACAAGAGAACUUGUGCCUCAAUCCAGAAAAUGGGUUCCACAGAAGACCUUGACUAUCCUCAAGUCAUCUUGCAAUACAGCAGUGGAUUUUUAGUCUCAAAGGAUCUGGCUGAGAAAUAUCACACUUGGCAAUUCUGGACACAAUGUAAGGUGCAUAUUUAAAAGAGGAUACGAAGUAAAUGAUGCUUAGUCAUGGUGGGCUGACCCUGUCCAGCAAUUAAGCAAACAUCUGCUGCAUGCUCACUCUUUGCCACAGCGGGGUGGGAGAGUCGAAUGAUCAAAGGCAAGAAAGAACUUGCAGAUCAAGAUAAAGAAAGUUUGACCAGUGAAAGAAAGAGGCAGGAAAAGAACCCAAAACAAGUGGUGCAAAGGCAAUCACUCACCACAUCCCAGCAGCAUACUGAUGACCAGCAAGUCUCAGAGCAGCAGCUGCCCUAGAAAGACUACCCUGCAGUCCUUAUUGCUGAGCAUGAAGUUCCAUGGCAUGGGAUAUCUCUUUGGUCAGUUGGGGUCAGCUGUCCCUGCUGUGUCCUCUCCCACACUCUUGCCCACCCUCAGCCUACUCAAUGUGGAGACAGAGUAAGAAAAAGAGAAGGCUCUGAUGCUGUGCAAGCCCUGCUCAACAGUAGCUGAAACAUCCCUGUGUUAUCAACACUGUUCUGGUCACAAAUCUAAACCACAGCACCAUAUGUGCUGCUGUGAAGAAAGUUAACUCCAUCUAGCUGGACUCUGUACAGUGAUAAAGACAAGAUGUAAUGUUUUAACUACGAAAUAAUCUAUCUUGAAUAAUGCGUGUCUGACAUGCUAAACGCUUUAUUAGUGCCAGCAGGGAAAAAGUGAGAAAAAAAAUUGAAUUGUUUUGAACCAUGUGUGGAGAAGGAAAGGUACACCCCUGUCCCUGCAGGAACCCUGAAUGUCAUUUUACAUCUUAUGUUUCUCUCAUGCUUAAAGGAUCAUACUGUUCACCACCUGAGUACCUAAUAAAACCAUAAUUACAUGUAUAAUUUA